rnacentral:misc_RNA from 1 species
CCCCAAUCCAAGCUUAAUUUAAAAAAAAAUGAAGGCAAGAUAAAGAAACAUGCUCAUAAAAGCUUUAUUUAGGGUACGAAAUACAUCACCAAUUCCUAACAUUUAUGAUUUACAUAAAGCGCACGGAAUGCUGGCCAUUUUCAAUUACAGUUCAGUUGUUUACUGUUUCUUCUGCUGAGACUUCAGUUCAUUUACCCUCUCUUCUGUAGCCUUCAGUGCCUUCCCAUAUUUGAAAAUUAACUCAUCAACCUCUUCAGGGGUGAUUAUAAUUGGUGGAGACAUCAUUAUGUUAUCCCCUGC